rnacentral:lncRNA from 1 species
AAUUAACUUCUCUCUCUUAUCUCCUCACGCUCACAUACAUCUAUAUUCUCUCUCUGCGUUCCUUCUCUCUCUCUCUCUCAACUCUGUCGUCCUCUUUCUCUCUCCCUGUCUCCGGUGAGCGUCGCCGGCCUUCGCCGCCUCCGGCGCGGCGAGGUCGGCCUCUCCUCUCCCCCUUCCUUUCUUUCCAUUUCUCCUUUCCCUAUGUGUCAAUCCCCAAAUUAUAAAAUCAAAAUCCCCGCCGUCGUCUCUGUCACGCCGCCGCCUCUUCUGACUCCGGUAAGUCCCUGUCUCUCUCUCUACUUCUAUCUCUGCUUUCUCCCUCGAACUCCCUCUUUCUCUGCCCUUUCUCGAUCUCUCGCUCUCUCUCUCUGUCCAGGGCGCGGCGGCCGCCGCAAGCCACGACAGCGCUUGCAGCGCCGGUGCUCGCUGCCGCCUGCCCCGCUCCUCUCUCCCUCUAGCUCGUUCUGCCUUUGUCCCUUCUUCAUGCUGUCUGUCUCUAUCUCACUAUCUCUCACUCAAUCUCCCUCUUUCUUUCGACUGUCGGCAGCCACCGCGGCCGCCGUGGCGCGGGCAGCGCCGGCGGCCACCACCGCCAGCCAUGCCUCCGUUGUGAUGGCUUGCGGCUGCUGCUGCUACUGCUAAUCCCCCCUCUCCUUCUUCCUUCCCUCUUCUCUAUUUCCCAAUUCAAAAUCUCAUUCCAGCAAACUUCUAAUUAAUUUCUAUUUCAGUUUCAACAUCACAAACUAAUAAAUCUCAAAUUAUUUUCUGUUUCAGGAAUCGACCGGCGUCGUCGUUGCUUGAGACGUCUCCGGCGCAACAGUCCUUUAUCAGCUCAAGAUCCUAUUUUUAUGAUUGUUUUCCUUGUUGCUUACUGGAAAGCUAAAGUUUUGAUAGAAGAAAGUAUACUGUUGUUAGUUAUGCUAUACUUAACUUGUUUGUUGUAGUUAGGUCCAUCUUUCCUAUUGCUAAAAGCAUUCUGUACAUGUAUUGAACAAAGAAAAACUACCUUCUUUGUUGUGAACUGCUGCGGGGAUGUUUGUNGUUUUCCUUGUUGCUUACUGGAAAGCUAAAGUUUUGAUAGAAGAAAGUAUACUGUUGUUAGUUAUGCUAUACUUAACUUGUUUGUUGUAGUUAGGUCCAUCUUUCCUAUUGCUAAAAGCAUUCUGUACAUGUAUUGAACAAAAGAAAAACUACCUUCUUUGUUGUGAACUGCUGCGGGGAUGUUUGUAUUCUGAUGAAUAUUUGUUUGCUGUUGGGAAUUUGCAGAAUGGGGGAAAAUUGGUGUCACGCUCAACUCCUCUUUUCUUAUACUGUUUUAAGUCAGCAGAAUGGGAAGAAUGAGUCACGUAUGCUACGUGUUUUUUUAAGGAUCAGAUAUGAUCUAAUGAGUUUUAUAUAAUCAGUAAAUCUUAUAGAAAUUAACUGGUUUGGCAUUCCUACUAUCAUUAUCAACUAUUGAC